AACAUAUGAUAGGCUCUUCAAAUAUAUUCUCUACCUAUUCUCCAUUCUUAAGAAAAGAAAAAUUCUGUAUCGCAGACGACUUCUUAACUACAAUUUCUGGUAUAGGUUCUGUUACAGGCAUUCCCAAUAUAAAUCUCACUUCACUUCUUCAUGUCCUAGCUUUUCUAUUAAUUUUUUGUUUGUCAGUUCCAGUAUCCAAGCCCUUAAAUGCAAAAUUAAAAUUUUUUUUCCUACUCAUUGCA
rnacentral:misc_RNA from 1 species